ACUCCCAGAGGCUCUGUGGGGCUGGGACACGACUCCUGGGUUCCUUCUCUCCUCAUUCCCAGGUCUCUACAUGGUGCAGGUGGUUUCCAGCUGUGACCUCCUGUCGAACGGAGAAUCCAUGGGUCCCAUGGUGCGGCUAUGAUGGGUGGGAUUUCAUCUCCUUCCAGCUGCGAUCCAGGAGCUUUGCAGUGUCUGAUGGUUCAACUGGAUCACCCAGAGGUGCUGGGAAUCCAAAGUGAUCAUGGUGGAGCAGAUGAAGCUUUACCUGGGACACACCUGUGUGAAAGAGCUCCCAAAAUACAUCAGAUAUGGUUGGGAUGCUGUGGAGCACAAAGCUGUUUCAGUUUUCCAGGAAUCUUCUCCACAGUCCUGUCUGCUCUUUUCAAGAACCUUUCGUGGAGAAGGAGAUGCAGCUUCUAUCACAAGAUGUGCCACUAACUGCAGCUUGUCUUGGCUUUCCACACCAUGUGUGCAGCACAACUCUUGCAGCAAAGCAAGAUAAAUGUAUGGAGAACUUUACAACUUGUUCUUUUUUUUCCUUGUGGACCGGGGACUUGUGCCAUUGGCCAUUUUCAUCCCCGACGCCUCAUGAAAUGAGAAGCCUGAGCUUGUGGAACUGCCUGAAAGAUGCCCUGUUCCUCUGCAGGGACACUCAGUCUGAAACAGGAGUCUGAGCUCUCUCUGGGGAAGCCUUCUACGAGCUGGAAUUUGUUUCACGCUGGGAGAGAAGGAGGUGAGGGAGAAUGAUGGGUGCUGUGUGGCAGGAGGCAAUUUCUGUGAUGGCCCCUGUCAGUUGAUUCUAUUUCAGCAGCAGCAACAGGGCUGUGUUUGAGUGCUGCAGAUGUUUGCCUGUGUGGCUUUAAUUCUCCUCUACUUUGUGCUCCGGGACUUGUGAACAUUUGGGGAUCUGCUACUCAUGAUGCCAGAGUUUCCUGUCAUGAAAGCACUCUGGAUGGCACUGAUCAAAAAAGGCAAUUGCAGUUUUAUGGAUAGAAUUCAAGUGGCAACCAGAAGAGGGGUAAGGGCAGUCAUGAUCUACAAUUCCCAAGUGUGAAAAGUGCAUAUUAUAUGGCUCUACGCAAGAUAUUUACUAUAUGUGUUAUGUUGUGCUAAUUGUUAAUGUGGUAUUAAUAUUUUGAUAGUAUGGUAAAUGUAGUUUUGUAGUUAAAAUGUAGUUUUUAUGUACCAACCACAGGAAAAUAUAAAUCUUUCAAAGAAGAAAGAAUUUACUACUUUCUUAUCAGAAGAGACCAACUUCUCCUGCUUUUCUCAGCCUAGUGGACGCCAUAGAGAUUAAAGGAAAAAAGUGAUACUAACCAGAGACAAUUCUUAGUUAGAAUGGAAUUUAUGCAUUAUGUAUAAAUUGUAUGAAUAUUCAACAGGCUAUUGCUUUUAAGAGAUAAUUUUUUGUUAACAGGGGUCCUUCUUCAGAGCUUGUAGCUCGGGAGAGGCACCCAGACGUCUGUAACUUUGUUUUUAUUGUCUUGUAUUGUCCUAACUCUAAAACUGUUCAAUUUUUUUACUCUAAUUCUAUUUUU